rnacentral:rRNA from 1 species
AACGAACGCUGGCGGCAUGCCUAACACAUGCAAGUCGAACGAGACCUUCGGGUCUAGUGGCGCACGGGUGCGUAACGCGUGGGAACCUGCCCUUAGGUUCGGAAUAACUCCCCGAAAGGGGUGCUAAUACCGGUUAAUGUCUUCGGACCAAAGAUUUAUCGCCUUUGGAUGGGCCCGCGUUGGAUUAGCUAGUUGGUAGGGUAAAAGCCUACCAAGGCGACGAUCCAUAGCUGGUCUGGUAAGAUGAUAAGCCACACUGGGACUGAGACACGGCCCAGACUCCUACGGGAGGCAGCAGUAGGGAAUAUUGGACAAUGAGCGAAAGCCUGAUCCAGCAAUGCCGCGUGAGUGAUGAAGGCCUUAGGGUUGUAAAGCUCUUUUACCCGAGAUGAUAAUGACAGUACCGGGAGAAUAAGCUCCGGCUAACUCCGUG